GCACAAGCGGUGGAUGAUGUGGAUUAAUUCGAUGCAACGCGAAAACCUUACUACCCUUGACAUGUCUGGAACCUUGCUGAGAGGCGAGGGUGCCUUCGGGAGCCAGAACACAGGUGCUGCAUGGCUGUCGUCAGCUCGUGUCGUGAGAUGUUGGGUUAAGUCCCGCAACGAGCGCAACCCUUGUCAUUAGUUGCUACAUUUAGUUGGGCAUCUAAUGAGACUGCCGGUGACAAACCGGAGGAAGGUGGGGAUGACGUCAAGUCCUCAUGGCCCUUAUAGGUAGGGCUACACACGUCAUACAAUGGAUGGUACAAAGGGUCGCCAACCCGCGAGGGGGAGCCAAUCCCAUAAAACCAUUCGUAGUCCGGAUCGCAGUCUGCAACUCGACUGCGUGAAGUCGGAAUCGCUAGUAAUCGCAGGCCAGCAUACUGCGGUGAAUACGUUCCCGGGCCUU
rnacentral:rRNA from 1 species